rnacentral:rRNA from 1 species
GGCUCAGACCGAACGCUGGCGGCGUGGCUAAGACAUGCAAGUCGUACGGACCUCAGUAGCAAUAUUGAGGUUAGUGGCGAAAGGGUGAGUAACGGAUGGGUAACGUACCCUGAACUCGGGGAUAACAGCGCCCGCAAGGGCUUUAGCGAAAGUGCUGCUAAUACCCGAUGAUAUCGCCGGGUCGCAUGGCCUGGCGAUCAAAGCUGGGGACCCGCAAGGGCCUGGCGGUUUUGGCGCGGCCCAUCUCCUAUCAGCUAGUUGGUGAGGUAAUGGCCCACCAAGGCGACGACGGGUAGCCGGACUGAGAGGUCGACCGGCCACAUCGGGACUGAGACACUGCCCGGACACCUACGGGUGGCUGCAGUAACGAAUAUUGGGCAAUGGGCGCAAGCCUGACCCAGCGACGCCGCGUGCAGGAGGAAGUCCUUCGGGAUGUAAACUGCUGUCAGGGGCUAGCAAGCAAAGGGUGUGAACAACAUCCGGCGUUGAGCCGCCCCAAAGGAAGCCACGACUAACUCUGUGCCAGCAGUCGCGGUAAGACAGAGGUGGCAAGCGUUGUUCGGAAUCACUGGGCUUAAAGCGCGUGUAGGCGGCUCCGAAAGUGUCGUGUGAAAUCCCGUGGCUCAACCACGGAACUGCGCGGCAAACUCCGGGGCUUGAGGCCGGUAGAGGUGCCUGGAACUCUCGGUGGAGCGGUGAAAUGCGUAGAUAUCGAGAGGAACGCCGGAGGCGAAAGCGGGGCACUGGGCCGGAACUGACGCUGAUACGCGAAAGCGUGGGGAGCAAACAGGAUCAGAUACCCUGGUAGUCCACGCCGUAAACGAUGCACACUAGACGUCGGACCCUCUGACGGGACCGGCGUCGCAGCAAAAGUCCUAAGUGUGCCGCCUGGG